GUCCACGCCGUAACGAUGAUAACUAGCUGUCAGGGCCAUGGGCUUUGGUGGCGCAGCUAACGCAUUAAGUUAUCCGCCUGGGGAGUACGGCCGCAAGGUUAAACUCAAAGAAUUGACGGGGCCUGCACAAGCGGUGGAGCAUGUGGUUUAAUUCGAAGCAACGCGCAGAACCUUACCAGCGUUUGACAUCCUGAUCGCGGAUUAGAGAGAUCUUUCCUUCAGUUCGGCUGGAUCAGUGACAGGUGCUGCAUGGCUGUCGU
rnacentral:rRNA from 1 species